rnacentral:rRNA from 1 species
AACGGCUACCACAUCUAAGGAAGGCAGCAGGCGCGCAAAUUACCCAAUUCUAACAGUUUGAGAGAGGUAGUAACAAGAAAUAACAAUACAAGGCAAUUAAAAUGCUUUGUAAUUGGAAUGAUAGAAAUUUAAACCCUUUUUAAAGUAUCAAUUGGAGGGCAAGUCUGGUGCCAGCAGCCGCGGUAAUUCCAGCUCCAAUAGCGUAUAUUAAAAUUGUUGCAGUUAAAAAGCUCGUAGUUGAAGUUCUGCUAAAAGUAACCGGUCUGCUUUUAAUAAAAGUGGUAUCUUGGUGUGUAUUUAGCAAUGAUGUCCUUUGAAGUGUUUUUUACUUUAUUGUAAUAAAGCAUAUUCAGGACUUUUAC